rnacentral:lncRNA from 1 species
CCAGAGUUGCCCUUGAAGAGAGGGAUGGAAAAGUGGCUCAGACGUGGGAGGGGGUGACCAAAAGAGAAAGCCGGGACUCCUCACCUGCCCUCUGGGAGAUCAGAUCUCUCCAAGAGGAGCCCCUGGAUUUGGAAAGUGCUCAGGAAGGCAGUAUUGAGCACCAAACCACCCAGAACCCUCCACCUGCUGGCAGCAGCUAGGCCAAACUCUUGGGUUUGAAGAGUGACAGUGCUGAGCACCAGGCUGCUCUCUGGCUUUGGAACCUCCCCAUUGGGCCACAGAUAAUCCCUCAGCAGGCACUGUUGGAGGCCAUACCCUUGUCCCAGCACCAGAGCUCCAGGAAGACCAGGACAUGAGGCAUAAAUUCACGGUGCUUCAUCUCCCUGCUGGGGGACUGAAGAUCACGACCAUUAAUGGCCUUCUCAUCUCAACCUCAGAAAUAAACCUGUCCUCACGGGAGAGAGUGAAUGCCAGUUGAGACCUCACUAAUAUAAAGACACGGCUGCUCACAAAUGUUCCACUGUGAAUCCCUCAGGAGUCCUGAAAUUGGUGGUAGGAUCUCCAUUUUACAGGUGAGGUGACUGAGGUUGAGAAUGAAGAAAGCCAGGCACCCGUGCAGUCUUACAAGGUAUUGUAGCUAAAAGUGGAGUCUGGAGCCACAUACGGGCUCUGCAGCUUUCUAGCUAUGUGACCUUGGGUAACGUCUCAGUCUAGUCUCUGCAGAAUGGAAAUGAUAGUACCUCAUAGGGUUGUGAAGAUUAACCAGUUUAUAGGCAGCAUAUUGAACACAGCAGUAUCUUAGCACAGAAUGUGAGCUACAUAUGCUUCAUGUAUUUACUAGUACAAUCAUGAUCAAUGUCUGAACUAAGUUUAAGAUACUAUAGGCAAGCAAAACUAACUUCUCUUUCCCUUUCUCCUGUCUCCCAAUGUAGAUGCAACAACAUUUUCCUCACUUCCUGGAAAUGGCUCCGUUCUAGCAUUUCAACAUUAUCCAGGAAUGAUGAUUAAGUCAGAGCAUCUCAAAGAGUCUGAGUGUUGAAUCUUCCAAAGUGUUCGAAUCUAUGGUAAGGGAAAUGAAGCAAAAGGUAAGUUGAGGGUUGGACUGUGUACUGUUGGACUCUUGUUCUUAAGCAGUCCCUUGUGGGCAUAUCAGUUCCUGCCCCUGCACAGGCAUGUCUACACACACUCACACACACACACA